GACGAACGCUGGCGGCGUGCUUAACACAUGCAAGUCGUACGGUAAGGCCCUUUCGGGGGUACACGAGUGGCGAACGGGUGAGUAACACGUGAGUAACCUGCCCACAACUUUGGGAUAACGCUAGGAAACUGGUGCUAAUACUGGAUAUGUGCUCCUGCUGCAUGGUGGGGGUUGGAAAGCUCCGGCGGUUGUGGAUGGACUCGCGGCCUAUCAGCUUGUUUGUGGGGUAGUGGCCUAUCAAGGCGGCGACGGGUAGCCGGCCUGAGAGGGUGACCGGCCACAUUGGGACUGAGAUACGGCCCAGACUCCUACGGGAGGCAGCAGUGGGGAAUAUUGCACAAUGGGCGCAAGCCUGAUGCAGCAACGCCGCGUGCGGGAGGACGGCCUUCGGGUUGUAAACCGCUUUCAGCAGGGACGAAGCUUUUUGUGACGGUACCUGCAGAAGAAGCACCGGCUAACUACGUG
rnacentral:rRNA from 1 species